UUUAAAUAUUGCAGUUUUGUGAAUGUAGGAUUGUGAAAAUCUUUCUAGCAGAUUCCCGGAUUAUUCAGGAGUGUCAGGGUCUAUUUCUUUCAUAUUACUUAUAUAUGGGUUUUUCUUUCCUUUGAAAGCAUCUCUGUUUGGUAAAAAGCAAAAUUAAAGUGACCGUAUGUUGCAUAUUGUAUUGAAGAUGGACGAGGAAAGUGGUUUAAAAAUAGAUAAAUGCAUUUUCUUUCUUUUAACAUUACACAUACUGGUUACUCUUUCCUGUCUAUUUUCUAGACAUUUUUUCAGUUUAUGUUUGCAAGAUGAUUUGUCAUUCUCCUUGAAUUUCUUUCUCUACUAAUCUUCUGCAGGGACAGUUAGUCACCUGACGUGAUGAGAUGGUUCCUGGGUCUGAUGAGUUUUUCGCUGGUGGACGUAGCCCUGCUCUUGAACACACGGAUGUCCUUCAAGCCUGAAGGGAUGAAAUCCCAUCUCCCUAAUGAGGGAGACAAUAGGUUUCUCAGAAAAUGGGAUAGUUUCUUUUCUUUUUUUUUCUUUUCUUUGUUUUCUUUCUUUCUUUUCUUUUCUUUUUUUUUUUUUUUUUUGAGAUAGAGUCACUCUCUGUCACUCAGGCUGGAGUGCGUGGCACAAUCUAGGCUCCCUGCAGCCUCGGCCUCCCAGGUUCCAGCGAUUCUCCUGCCUCAGCCUCCUGAGUAGCUGGGAUUACAGGCACGCACACCAUAGUUUUCUAUUUGAAUGAUUUGUUAUGUUGGUUAUCUGUGACAAAGUCAUUUGCCCCUUUUGGGAGGGAAUACAUAACUAUAAUAAUUCAAUUCUGAACUUGAAGAAAACAGAAAGCAAAGUGGCAUAAAAUUGCCCUUUUUGUUGUAAUUUUUUUUUAAAUAUUUGAGACAACGUAUUUGAAGGCACGAUGUUCCCCUUUCUUCUGAGUUGGGGAUAUUCCGUAAGUGAGUGAUGAAUAAUACACUAUGUUCCAUAACGUCUCUGUGUUUAAUUGUCCAGAGCACCAUGUGUAUACUCACUUGAACCUGGAGAAUUGUUCAUGUGAUUGGAAACCCAAAGAAAACCACUUCCUGGCUGUUGAUACAGGGGCCAAAAAGUUGUAAUACCUAAAGAUCACAUAAGUAGGUUUCUUGAUUGUUGUAUAUUUAUUUUGUAUCAUUCCUGACUUGUAAAUAAGGAAAUAAGUCAUUAAGAAAUUACUAAAUUAGGUUGCAAACCAUGGGCAGGAAAGAAGUCAAACAGAAUGCCUGACACAGUCAAUCAGCUAAGUCUAAUUUUCC
rnacentral:lncRNA from 1 species